AGUGAACGCUGGCGGUAGGCCUAACACAUGCAAGUCGAACGGCAGCACAGUAAGAGCUUGCUCUUACGGGUGGCGAGUGGCGGACGGGUGAGGAAUACAUCGGAAUCUACUUUUUCGUGGGGGAGAACGUAGGGAAACUUACGCUAAUACCGCAUACGACCUACGGGUGAAAGCAGGGGAUCUUCGGACCUUGCGCGAUUGAAUGAGCCGAUGUCGGAUUAGCGAGUUGGCGGGGUAAAGGCCCACCAAGGCGACGAUCCGUAGCGGGUCUGAGAGGAUGAUCAGCCACACUGGAACUGAGACACGGUCCAGACUCCUACGGGCGGCAGCAGUGGGGAAUAUUGGACAAUGGGCGCAAGCCUGAUCCAGCCAUACCGCGUGGGUGAAGAAGGCCUUCGGGUUGUAAAGCCCUUUUGUUGGGAAAGAAAAGCAGCAGGUUAAUACCCCGCUGUUCUGACGGUACCCAAAGAAUAAGCACCGGCUAACUUCGUG
rnacentral:rRNA from 1 species